AACGAACGCUGGCGGCAGGCCUAACACAUGCAAGUCGAACGCCCCGCAAGGGGAGUGGCAGACGGGUGAGUAACGCGUGGGAACCUACCUUGUGGUACGGAACAACCAAGGGAAACUUUGGCUAAUACCGUAUGAGCCCGAGAGGGGAAAGAUUUAUCGCCAUAAGAUGGGCCCGCGUAGGAUUAGCUAGUUGGUGAGGUAAUGGCUCACCAAGGCGACGAUCCUUAGCUGGUCUGAGAGGAUGACCAGCCACACUGGGACUGAGACACGGCCCAGACUCCUACGGGAGGCAGCAGUGGGGAAUAUUGGACAAUGGGCGCAAGCCUGAUCCAGCCAUGCCGCGUGUGUGAUGAAGGCCUUAGGGUUGUAAAGCACUUUCGCCGAUGAAGAUAAUGACGGUAGUCGGAGAAGAAGCCCCGGCUAACUUCGUGCCAGCCGCCGCCGUAACAC
rnacentral:rRNA from 1 species